CAGCCGCCGCGGGAAUACGAAGGGGGCUAGCGUUGCUCGGAAUGACUGGGCGUAAAGGGCGCGUAGGCGGUUUGUACAGUUGGGUGUGAAAUUCCUGGGCUUAACCUGGGGGCUGCACCCAAGACGUGCAGGCUUGAGUGUGGAAGAGGGUCGUGGAAUUCCCAGUGUAGAGGUGAAAUUCGUAGAUAUUGGGAAGAACACCGGUGGCGAAGGCGGCGACCUGGUCCAUUACUGACGCUGAGGCGCGAAAGCGUGGGGAGCAAACAGGAUUAGAUACCCGUGUAGUCCCUGUCUCUUAUAC
rnacentral:rRNA from 1 species